CGUGUUUCAGUUGAAGGUGAAAAAGUUUAUGUUACCACGUCCAAGAUGAAAUCAAUUGGAAGUAUUGUCUUAAUGAUUGUCUGUCUGGCUGUUCUUUGUGACGCCCGUGAUAAACGGUGUCGACCGGGAAUUUGGUGCGGCAAGAAUAAACAAGCAGACGAAAUGAAAGCUAAUGGAGCAAGACGUGAAGGGAUCGCUGGGGAUAGAGAUUCUAAACGUCAAUAUCACAGAAUGAAAGGAGAUGACGCUAGAAACAAGGUCGACAUCGAGCGUGAAUUUGAAGGAUAUUUUGGGGAUUAUUGAUAGCAUUUCAUGGAAAAUUUUGCAAUCAUCGCAGUCUACAAAAUGAACCGUUUUAUCUUAGAUUAACGCAUUCAUAAAUGUAAACUAGUACAUUAUCAAACAGCUAUAUAUAACAACACGUAAAUAAUAUGUACAUGCAUGAGAAACGUCGAACUCGAAAUCAAUGAAAUAAAACUACUCUUGUUCUUCAAAAAAUA